rnacentral:rRNA from 1 species
UAGCGUAUAUUAAAGUUGUUGCAGUUAAAACGCUCGUAGUCGGAUUUCGGGGCGGCUUCGUCGGUCUGCCGAUGGGUAUGCACUGACGCGGGCGUCCUUCCUUCCGGAGACGCGUCCUACUCUUAGCUGAGCGGGGCGUGGAGACGGAUCGUUUACUUUGAAAAAAUCAGAGUGUUUCAAGCAGGCAUCAUCGCUCUUGCAUGGAUUAGCAUGGGAUAAUGAAAUAGGACCUUGGUGCUAUUUUGUUGGUUUCGAGCACCGAAGUAAUGAUUAACAGGGACAGUCAGGGGCACUCGUAUUCCGCCGAGAGAGGUGAAAUUCUCAGACCAGCGGAAGACGAACCACUGCGAAAGCAUUUG